rnacentral:rRNA from 1 species
GAGAUCACUUUGGUGGUCUAGUGGCGGACGGGUGAGUAACACAUGGGAAUCUGCCUUUUAGUGGGGGAUAACGUAGGGAAACUUACGCUAAUACCGCAUACGCUCUACGGAGGAAAGGGGGGGGAUCGCAAGACCUCUCGCUAAAAGAUGAGCCCAUGUCUGAUUAGCUAGUUGGUGGGGUAAGGGCCUACCAAGGCGACGAUCAGUAGCCGGCCUGAGAGGGUGUACGGCCACACUGGGACUGAGACACGGCCCAGACUCCUACGGGAGGCAGCAGUGGGGAAUAUUGGACAAUGGGCGAAAGCCUGAUCCAGCAAUGCCGCGUGUGUGAAGAAGGCCUUCGGGUUGUAAAGCACUUUAAGUGGGAAAGAAGUGCAUUCAAUUAAUACCUGGAUGUAUUGACGUUACCCACAGAAUAAGCACCGGCUAACUCCGUGCCAGCAGCCGCGGUAAUACGGAGGGUGCGAGCGUUAAUCGGAAUUACUGGGCGUAAAGCGUAUGUAGGCGGUUUGAUCAGUCGGAUGUGAAAUCCCCGAGCUUAACUUGGGAAUGGCAUUCGAUACUGUCAAGCUAGAGUAGUCUAGAGGAAAGGGGAAUUCCGCGUGUAAACAGUGAAAUGCGUAGAUAUGCGGAGGA